rnacentral:rRNA from 1 species
GACGAACGCGGCGGCGUGCCUAACACAUGCAAGUCGAGCGGACUUCAUCCUUCGGGGUGAGGUAGCGGCGGACGGGUGAGUAACACGUAGGCAACCUGCCCUCGAGACUGGGAUAACCUCCGGAAACGGAUGCUAAUACCAGAUACGCGGUCUUCCCUCCUGGGGAGAUCGGGAAAGACGGAGCAAUCUGUUACUCGGGGAUGGGCCUGCGGCGCAUUAGCUAGUUGGUGAGGUAACGGCUCACCAAGGCGACGAUGCGUAGCCGACCUGAGAGGGUGAUCGGCCACACUGGGACUGAGACACGGCCCAGACUCCUACGGGGGGCAGCAGUAGGGAAUCUUCCGCAAUGGACGAAAGUCUGACGGAGCAACGCCGCGUGAGUGAGGAAGGCCCUCGGGUCGUAAAGCUCUGUUGCCAGGGAAGAACGCUUGGGAGAGUAACUGCUCCCAAGGUGACGGACCUGAGAAGAAAGCCCGCA